UCAAGUAAUUAAGUGCAUGUGGUGGAUGCCUUGGCAGUCAGAGGCGAUGAAAGACGUGAUAGCCUGCGAAAAGCUCCGGGGAGGCGGCAAAUAUCCUUUGAUCCGGAGAUGUCUGAAUGGGGGAACCCACCUACUUUAAGGUAGGUAUUGCAACAUGAAUACAUAGUGUUGCAAGGCGAACGAGGGGAAGUGAAACAUCUCAGUACCCUUAGGAAAAGAAAUCAAUUGAGAUUCCCUCAGUAGCGGCGAGCGAACGGGGAUCAGCCCAUUAAGUUAUGUGUGUUUUAGUGGAACGCUCUGGGAAGUGCGAACGUAGAGGGUGAUAUUCCCGUACACGAAAGGGCACACAUAAUGAUGACGAGUAGGGCGAGGCACGUGAAACCUUGUCUGAAUAUGGGGGGACCAUCCUCCAAGGCUAAAUACUCCUGACUGACCGAUAGUGAACCAGUACCGUGAGGGAAAGGCGAAAAGAACCCCUGUGAGGGGAGUGAAAUAGAUCCUGAAACCGCAUGCAUACAAGCAGUGGGAGCACCUUCGUGGUGUGACUGCGUACCUUUUGUAUAAUGGGUCAGCGACUUAUAUUCAGUAGCGAGGUUAACCGUAUAGGGGAGCCGUAGAGAAAUCGAGUCUUAAUAGGGCGUUUAGUUGCUGGGUAUAGACCCGAAACCAGGCGAUCUAUCCAUGAGCAGGUUGAAGGUUGGGUAACACUAACUGGAGGACCGAACCCACUGUCGUUGAAAAGCCAGGGGAUGACUUGUGGAUAGGGGUGAAAGGCUAAUCAAGCCUGGUGAUAGCUGGUUCUCCCCGAAAGCUAUUUAGGUAGCGCCUCGGACGAAUACCAUAGGGGGUAGAGCACUGUUUCGGCUAGGGGGUCAUCCCGACUUACCAAACCGAUGCAAACUCCGAAUACCUAUGAGUACUAUCCGGGAGACAGACUGCGGGUGCUAACGUCCGUAGUCAAGAGGAAAACAAUCCAGACCGCCAGCUAAGGCCCCAAAAUCAUAGUUAAGUGGGAAACGAUGUGGGAAGGCAUAGACAGCUAGGAGGUUGGCUUAGAAGCAGCCACCCUUUAAAGAAAGCGUAAUAGCUCACUAGUCGAGUCGGCCUGCGCGGAAGAUGUAACGGGGCUAAAACUAUGUGCCGAAGCUGCGGAUGUAUACUUUGUAUACGUGGUAGGGGAGCGUUCUGUAAGCCGAUGAAGGUGUGUUGAGAAGCAUGCUGGAGGUAUCAGAAGUGCGAAUGCUGACGUGAGUAACGACAAAACGGGUGAAAAACCCGUUCGCCGAAAGACCAAGGGUUCCAGUCCAACGUUAAUCGGGGCUGGGUGAGUCGACCCCUAAGGCGAGGCCGAAAGGCGUAGUCGAUGGGAAAAUGGUUAAUAUUCCAUUACUUCUGUGUAAUGCGAUGAGAGGACGGAGAAGGCUAAAUCAGCCUGGCGUUGGUUGUCCAGGUGAAAGGAUGUAGGCAUGUAUCUUAGGCAAAUCCGGGGUACUCUAUGCUGAGAUCUGAUAGCAAGCUGUACUUGUACAGCGAAGUGGUUGAUGCCAUGCUUCCAGGAAAAGUCUCUAAGCUUCAGUUACACAGGAAUCGUACCCGAAACCGACACAGGUGGUCAGGUCGAGUAGACCAAGGCGCUUGAGAGAACUCUGCUGAAGGAACUAGGCAAAAUGGUACCGUAACUUCGGGAGAAGGUACGCUGUUGUUGGUGAUGGAACUCGCUUCCUGAGCUGACGACAGCCGCAGAAACCAGGCCGCUGCAACUGUUUAUUAAAAACAUAGCACUCUGCAAACACGAAAGUGGACGUAUAGGGUGUGAUGCCUGCCCGGUGCUGGAAGGUUAAUUGAUGGGGUUAGCGUAAGCGAAGCUCUUGAUCGAAGCCCCAGUAAACGGCGGCCGUAACUAUAACGGUCCUAAGGUAGCGAAAUUCCUUGUCGGGUAAGUUCCGACCUGCACGAAUGGCAUAAUGAUGGCGGCGCUGUCUCCAGCAGAGGCUCAGUGAAAUCGAAAUCGCUGUGAAGAUGCAGUGUACCCGCGGCUAGACGGAAAGACCCCGUGAACCUUUACUGCAGCUUGACACUGAACUUUGACCUUACUUGUGUAGGAUAGGUGGGAGGCUUUGAAGCUGGAACGCUAGUUCCAGUGGAGCCGUCCUUGAAAUACCACCCUGGUAAUGUUGAGGUUCUAACUCUGUCCCGUGAUCCGGGACGAGGACCGUGUCUGGUGGGUAGUUUGACUGGGGCGGUCUCCUCCUAAAGAGUAACGGAGGAGUACGAAGGUGCGCUCAGCGUGGUCGGAAAUCACGCGUAGAGUAUAAAGGCAAAAGCGCGCUUAACUGCGAGACCCACAAGUCGAGCAGGUACGAAAGUAGGUCUUAGUGAUCCGGUGGUUCUGUAUGGAAGGGCCAUCGCUCAACGGAUAAAAGGUACUCUGGGGAUAACAGGCUGAUACCGCCCAAGAGUUCAUAUCGACGGCGGUGUUUGGCACCUCGAUGUCGGCUCAUCUCAUCCUGGGGCUGAAGCAGGUCCCAAGGGUAUGGCUGUUCGCCAUUUAAAGAGGUACGCGAGCUGGGUUUAGAACGUCGUGAGACAGUUCGGUCCCUAUCUACCGUGGGCGCUGGAAAUUUGAGAGGAUCUGCUCCUAGUACGAGAGGACCAGAGUGGACGAACCUCUGGUGUACCGGUUGUGACGCCAGUCGCAUCGCCGGGUAGCUAUGUUCGGAAGGGAUAACCGCUGAAAGCAUCUAAGCGGGAAGCCUACCUCAAGAUAAGAUUUCCCUAGGACUUUAUGUCCUCUAAAGAGCCGUUCGAGACUAGGACGUUGAUAGGUUGGAUGUGGAAGCAUAGUGAUAUGUGAAG
rnacentral:rRNA from 1 species